rfam:Brassica oleracea var. oleracea cultivar TO1000 chromosome C5, whole genome shotgun sequence
GGAAUAUAAGAACUCGUCUCUUAACUUUUAACUAAAAAAACUAAGAACUGGUUCUUAAAUAAGAGUUUUAAGAGCCGGUUUUUAACUUUUUUUAGUUAAAAGUUAAGAGACAAAUUCUUAUAUUCA